UACAGAGGUCUCAAGCGUUGUUCGGAUUCAUUGGGCGUAAAGGGUGCGUAGGUGGCGUCGUAAGUCGGGUGUGAAAUUUCGGAGCUUAACUCCGAAACUGCAUUCGAUACUGCGGUGCUUGAGGACUGGAGAGGAGAUUGGAAUUUACGGUGUAGCAGUGAAAUGCGUAGAGAUCGUAAGGAAGACCAGUGGCGAAGGCGGGUCUCUGGACAGUUCCUGACACUGAGGCACGAAGGCCAGGGGAGCAAACGGG
rnacentral:rRNA from 1 species